rnacentral:lncRNA from 1 species
GCGGCUGCGCGGCGGAGACGCUCGCCAAAGGGGGUAUCGAGACGUUCCUCAUCGAGCGGAAGAUGGACAACUGCAAGCCCUGCGGCGGCGCAAUCCCGCUCUGCAUGGUCGGAGAAUUCGACCUCCCGCUCGACAUCAUCGACCGGAGGGUGACCAAGAUGAAGAUGAUCUCGCCGUCGAAUGUGGCCGUCGACAUCGGCAGAACCCUGAAGCCGCAUGAGUACAUCGGGAUGGUCCGCCGCGAGGUCCUCGACGCCUACCUCCGGGAGCGCGCCUCCACCGCCGGCGCCACCGUGAUCAACGGCCUCUUCCUGAAGAUGGACCUCCCCCAGUCGAAGAACGCGCCGUACGUCCUCCACUACAGCGACUACAACACCAAGACCGGCGCCGCCGGCGAGAAGAAAACCCUCGAAGUCGACGCCAUCGUCGGCGCCGACGGCGCCAACUCCCGCGUCGCCAAGGGAAUCGGCGCCGGCGACUACGAGUACGCCAUCGCCUUCCAGGAGCGAAUCAAGAUCUCCGACGACAAGAUGAAGUACUACGAGGACCUGGCCGAGAUGUACGUCGGCGAUGACGUGUCACCCGAUUUCUACGGGUGGGUGUUCCCCAAGUGCGACCACGUGGCAGUCGGAACCGGCACGGUGACCCACAAGGGGGACAUCAAGAAGUUCCAAACCGCGACCCGGCUCCGCGCCCGCGACAAGAUCGAGGGCGGGAAGAUCAUCCGGGUCGAGGCCCACCCGAUCCCGGAGCACCCGCGGCCGAGGCGGGUACUCGACAGGGUGGCACUUGUCGGGGACGCCGCCGGGUACGUCACCAAGUGCUCCGGGGAGGGGAUCUACUUCGCGGCCAAGAGCGGGCGGAUGUGCGCCGAGGCGAUCGUCGAGGGGUCCGAAAACGGGAAGCGGAUGGUGGACGAGAGCGAUCUCCGGGUUUACCUCCAGAAGUGGGACAAAACGUACUGGCCGACGUACAAAGUUCUUGAUAUUCUGCAGAAGGUGUUCUACAGAUCAGAUCCCGCGAGGGAGGCAUUCGUCGAGAUGUGCGCCGACGAGUACGUGCAGAGGAUGACGUUUGAUAGCUACUUGUACAAACGGGUCGUGCCCGGCAACCCGCUGGAGGAUUUGAAGCUGGCUGUGAAUACGAUCGGGAGCCUUGUGAGGGCGAAUGCGCUGAGGAAGGAGAUGGAGAAGCUUAGCGUAUGAUUCAACGGGUCGGGUUGGGAUCGGGAUCCGGUUGGAGGAUGGUGUGUUGUGUGAUUUUGUGCUCUUUGUUUGUGGGAGGGAUUUUAUUUGAAUUUGUACUGAGGAAAGAUUUAUAUAUAUAUGUUAAUUAGACCCUACCUCUAUGUAUAAGAUAUUUAUUUUUUGUUGUAAUUGAAUGGAAGCUUUUGUAAAACACAAAGCUGUGUUAAUUAGAAUUAAUAAUGGAAUUCACUUUUCUAAUCUUCAAGGGGACCAUUUACCGCUUUAAUGCACCCUCGCUGUAUUCGUUGUAAGAACGAGCCAUCGUGGAUUUACGUGCAGAGGUUCGAUGCCGCCACCAUGGAGGUUCCCAUCCCCACAAAAAAGUUGCACAUUAUCGCCCUGCCCUGAACUCAAGGUCUGAGGAUGGGGGAGUUCUUCGACUCCAUCUCGUAGAAAGCCUCAACUUGAUUCAACGAGCUGCAGAAAAGAGUUAAAAAGUACAUCGAUAUGGAGGAAUCGGGCUCAGGAUCUAGGACCCUCGGCGGAUAAACGAAGAGAUAAUAAGCCAAAAAAUAGAACUCCAAGAAUGUAAACCCUGAGAAGCGCACAUGCCCACAAUUCGAAAUGUACGCACCCCUCAACAUCCAUUAGUAGCUAUCACGAAUCAUCUCUAAAGCUCAAAUGGCCUCGUAUUUACUCUGCAGUACGAAAGAGGCCACCAGCACAGUAGUCUAUUGCCGUUUUGGUUUUCACAACGACCACAAACACUCUCUGACUAAUGACAACGUCUAUGUGACGAGAUUGGGAGGCUAAUCAGAGCAAAAAACCUACCGAAAUUCGAUUAGAAAUGGCUGACAUCAGGCCCCAAAGUGUCAUAGACACAUAUCGAUAUUACCUUAGGUAGUCGUUGUUGACUAGACUCGCAUGUUUUAUUCAUAGUCAAAUUGCAUAUGUAUGCAAUAGCUUGGUUUUGAAUAAUAUAUUUAUAAUACACGUGAAAUUGAGUUAUAAUUAAUUUAGCAGGCUAAUGAUCAAAGGCUUGCAUAACUGAAGUUUAAUUGGGUCAUAAAUCAACAUAUAGGGGAGAGAUAAAAUCCCAUGUUGUUACAGAUAAUGUAUUGGUGGCUUAUGAGAUUAAUCACUUCAUUAAAACUAACUCUCGAAAACGCUCUAAUCUUAUGGCUAUGAAGUUAUUAGUAAAGCAUAUGAUCGCAUUGAGUGGUUUUUCUUGAGAAAGAUUAUGUGUAGGUUCGGUUUCCCUGUUGGUUUAAUUGAUCUGAUUAUGCUAUGUGUUUCGACGGUUUCUUACGCGUGUUUGUUCAAUGGGUCGCAGUGUGGUUCGAUAGUCCCUUCGCGGGGCUUAGGCAAGGCGACCCCCUUUCGCCAUAUCUUUUCAUUCUUUGUACAGAGGCGCUUAUAGCAAUGGUGCAACGGGAGAAGGAAAGCGGGCGAUUGCAAGGAUUCCGAGUAGCUCCGACCGCUCCAAUGGUCUCGAGUUUGUGUUUCGAGGAUGAUACACUGAUUUUUUGCCAAGCAAACGAGGAUAAUGCUGGGACAAUCCAACAAAUUCUUCUCCAAUAUGCACGUGUUUCUGGCCAGAUGAUUAACAUGGAGAAAUCGACAAUUAGUUUAUGUCCAGCUACACCACCGGAGACCCGCGAAUCUAUACAUGCUAUCUUGGGCUUCCAGGUUGUGGUAAGUGAUGAAAAAUAUUUAGGGCUUCCGGCGGCUUUGGGGAAAAUGCGCAAGGAGGUUUUCCAAUACCUGAGAGAUAGGAUAUGGGACUGAUAAAGGGAUCUCUAAGGCGGGGAAAGAAAUCCUAAUCAAGGCGGUCCUACAGGCAAUCCCAUCGUAUGUUAUGUCUUGCUUUCUACUGCCGAUUGGUUUGGUUAAGGAGAUUGAAGCCAUUAUGCGUCGUUUUUGGUGGGGGAAUGGCAUGGAUAAAACGACGCAUUGGGUUGCAUGGAAGAAACUAUGCAAACCGAAGGAAGAUGGGGGCAUGGGGUUUCGGGAUCUUCGGAGUUUUAAUCUCGCUCUGCUGGCGAAACGAGGCUGGCGACUUGUUACCAAGCCGGAGCUCUUACUGUCAAAGAUUAUGCAAGCUAGGUACUACCAUAAUGAGGAUUUAUGGGCUGCGGUUGUGGGCCAUCGCCCGUCGGCCACAUGGCGAGCCAUUGUUGAGGCCCGCGGCCAUUUGAAAGAAGGUGUUCGGAUGCGAAUUGGGGAUGGUACGAAUACAUCGGUGUGGUGCGACCCGUGGAUUCUCCAUGAUAACUACCCUAAGAUUAUCACUCCAAUGCCCGUGCACUCGGCUUUCCCUAAUUCGGUAGCGGACCUUAUUGACAGAAAUACGGGUUCAUGGAAGACUGAGGUUCUUGAUAAUAUUUUCUGGCCGGUGGACAAGCAACGCAUUCUUACUACUCCUAUUGGAGGUGCGGGAACGGCUGAUCGAAUUAUAUGGGGUUUCUCGAAUUUGGGUAAUUUUACGGUUAAAAGUUGCUAUCAUAACAUAAUGAGUCGCCACAGUUUGCGAGUUGGAGAUGGCUCGGUCGGCUCAAAUAGUGGAUCGCACUCUUACAACUGGAAAUAGCUUUGGAAACUCGACGUGCCACCAAAAAUUCGGGUAUUCUUAUGGAGAGCAUGCAUGGAAGCUUUACCGUGUAAAGUUGAAUUGUUUCGGCGGAGGAUUGUCUCGGACCCGUUGUACGAUAUUUGUGGAAUAGAAUCCGAUUCCUUGCCGCAUAUUUUCUUUCACUGUCAUGGAGUUAGGCAGGUGUGGGAACAUCUACCAAUUUCUCUAACCACUAGCGACAUGAAUCCCUCGGUUUGGAGCUGGGUGAGCAGAUUGGCUCGAGACCUUUCAGUAGAACAGUUUCACCUGGCUACAGUGGUUCUUUGGAGCUUUUGGGAUUGCCGGAAUAAGCUGUUGCAUGGUGAUGAAUAUCGGGCAUUUGGGGAAAUUGUGGGAUGGAGCACCAUGCACGUACAUGGAAUCAUAUCGUGAAGCUCGUUUGAGUCGUAGCGUCGUCGACAAGCGGUCCCAGGCCAUCUUGUGGUCUCCACCACCAAUAGGGGUGAUUAAAGUUAACAUUGACGCAACUUUUCCGCAAGGUAAUGAUCACUAUUACACAUCUGUGAUUGCUAGAGAUUCACAAGGUCAAAGUGUGUGGUGGCAGAAUUUUCGGCACCUUGGUCGCGUGUUACCUGCCGAGGGGGAAGCUCGGGCUGUUUUGCAAGCUACUAUUAUGGCGUUAAGCUUCACAUGGUCUGAUAUUAUUAUUGAGGGUGACUGUCUCCCACUGAUCGAUGCGCUUAAUGGUCGAGGUUCUUCACUUACUUCAUUCGGCGCUAUUAUUGAGGCGGUUUUAGCUCGCUCUUGUCUCUUCUUUUCUAUUUCCUUUUCUUUUGUAAAGCGUUAUGCCAAUAAACUAGCUCACGAAAUUGCUUCGCGUGAUAAUUAGGAUUCAUUGGAAGGUGUAACCCUCCGUCCGUUUCUGGCUAUGAGUACCUCAUAUAAUUGUGUUUUUCCCGUAAAAAAAAAAAUAAAAUCCUAUGCUUGUUUUUAUAUGAUAAUGUUCCUAAUUUAAUUUGCCUUCUUAGUUAAUGUGCUUAAUUUGGUCUAAUUGCACGGAACCCCCUGUGUAACUUCGAAUGGCUAAAAAAUUCACUGUGUUAAAAAAUUUAGCAAAGACUUCCCUAUAUUUUAUUUUGCUAAGCACACAGCCCCAUACUUUGCAAUUGAGUGUUGACUUACAUGAAAAGACAUACCUACCCCUAGUUAGAAUAAAGCAAACACCCCAAACCCAAAAGCGUAUACAGUACAAGAAAAUCGAAGAAGAAGUUUGAAAAAUCUUCCUUUGGUGGCGGUAGAGUUGAAGAUGACUGGGGGUGUGCACGGGUCGGUACGGCUCGGUUUUUCUAAUAAACCAAACACGUACCAAUAAUAUCGGUUUUUCAUAUUUUUUAAACCGAAUAUGCCGGUUUUUUUGGGUUUGGUGUUCAUCGGUUUUUUGGUUUUCGGUUAAUGGUUUCGGUAUCAAUUCGGUUUAUUUUCUGUGUCGAUUUCGUCUAUUUGUUCGAAUGGGUUCCGCCUAAAACAGGUAUAUUUGGACUUUCAUUAUAUUUAUUUGAGAAAAUUAACAAAUAACAACCGAAAAUUAACUAAUAAAAAACAUGUCACAAUCCAAAAUUAAUUAAUAGAAAAACAUGUCACAUGGAGGCUCUCGAAAGAUAGAGGCACGCUAGGGUAAGUAUUUAUACUAUAUAUCAAAAAGACAUCAUUUUGUAUAAAUUGGUUCGGUUCGGGAAAUCGGUUUGGUAAUUUUUUUAUUCUCCAUACACAAACCGAUAUUUUCGGUUCUGGAAAACAAUUUACCGUAUGUGCGGUUUUAAGUCGAAACGGUACAUAACGGCUCGAUUUUUUUGGUUUUUGGUUCGGUUUUUCGGUUUCUCGGUUUUUUUCUCACACCUAAAGAUGACCACAUCAAGAACUAAGAACAAAGGGAAGAUAGCUUUUGUUAGUUUUGAGACAAAUUUUUUAGUUCUUUAAUUUCAUGUGGCCUCUUUUGUUUAGUGAGAAAAAUGGGAAAAGGAAAAAAAUAAAAAACAAAAAAAGACUGAUUUUUUUAUGUGGGUUUUUUAAUGAUUUGGAGGAUGAGAAGAGGCCCCGUACUCUAAUGCUGGGUCUUACUCUUUGUUCAAAGAGUUGCUACUCUCUCUCUCCCCACACAUACACACAAAUAUACAGUUUGUAAUGGAAUUGCAAAUUAAUUUCAUUUUAGCUUUGCUUCAAAAACUUGUUGGGUGCUAAAUACCAAUACGCAAGUGUACGUAUCGCAAACAAGUAGUAAAGUAGACUCGUGAGAGUCGGAUGUCGAUCCCACAGGGAAUACGCAAAUUAUUUAAUCAUAAGUACCAAAUCCUAACAAUUGUGAUUUUUAUCCAGCCUACGCAGGGUUGUCAAAUUAAUUAACUAAAUAACUUAAACUAAUUAAGAACGCAAGUAAUCACGAGAAAAAAUCAAUAAUAAACGGAUCUAGGAUUUUAUCUUCCCCCUAUGCGAUAAUUCUUCACCCAAUUAAUUUCCUAUCAUGCAAGUUACGAUUCCCGAUUAUUAACCCAAGACACGAAAUUAUUCAUAACCAGCUGUCGCUGCGCUAUAAACCUAUUAUUCAUAAAAGAUUCACUAUAUGUCUAUGCAAACCUAGUAUAAAUAAAGCAUUAAAUAGCAAGUCUCGCAAACGGCUACCUAAGGUAUUAUCUGUAUGUCUACGAUAAUACAUGCAAUUAACACACACAUUCGGUGAAAAACUACUCGAAGGCUCUUCUAUCCCUGUUCUAAUUAUUAAAACGAUCUGUCAAUCAAUUCUAACAAUAACAAAUAGCAACAUAAGUUAGCUACGCUCAUGCACUAAAUACGAUCAAGAUAGAAGAAAUAAUCGAAGAAUUAAACUUGCAUAAAAGUAGAAAAAUAGGUUCGAGUUACCACAUAGGGUUCCAAUAAAAUCCUAGAAUAAAAACUUAGCUACUCAUGUUCGCUACGAAAAGCAUAAUAAAAAUACGAAAAUUCAUAAAAAUCAAAAAAGAAAAGGAAAAAGGAAAACUAGGAUGAAGAGUCGUCAAGUCUUCGUCUUCGUUCUCUUGCUCCUUGAUUGCGUGUAGAAAAUAUAAAAAACUAAAAACUAAUAAUAACGAUAAAAGGUAAAAGAUAGAUCUAAUUGUGUGCUCUUGGCCUUUAAAUAGGGUGCAAAAAUAUAAUAGGGCGGGUUUCCUUGUGUAAUUAAAAUUCCUUCACUGCGCCUUCACGUCCACCCGGACGGCCGUGUGAGAUUUUGAACUAAAAUCCGCACGGCCGUGCGGUCUUUUAAUUCUCCAGAAUUCUGCUUUUUUCACUUUUGGCCCACUUUUUCUCCGAAAUUGCAGUUUUCACCCCAAAAGUUGCCAAUUCUUCAAUUUGCACCUAAAAUACAUAAUUAAUAACCAUAUUAAGCACCAAUUAUCGUAAAAACACAUCAAAAGCUCCAAUUAAAAGGUACAAUUAAGUGUAUAAAUAUACACUUAACACACCCCCAAACUUGAACUUUUGCUUGUCCUCAAGUAACAUCAAAUUAAUAGCACAAAACAAAACCAUACAUCUCAUUACAUAGAUCGAUGGGUCAACUUAGCGUUUUCAGAAUUUGCAAUUAUGAUGACAAUUCAUAGGUAUUCGCAAGCUUAACAUUCAACGGCACUUAGUCACUCACUAUUACCAAAAACCACAAAUCAUACAAUUGCUUCAAGUAUCCAAUAUUUGCAAGUUAAAGAUAGAAAGAAUUUAUACUUACAUGCAUAUAUUUGACUCCAAAUACUCACCAAAUUAUUUUACUCAACUAAUAUUGAACAAUAAGCUAUUGGGAUCAUUGGGGCUUUGUGGCUUUCAAUUGUUAGGCUCUUUGGUCCGAGGUAGGUAAUAUGGGAAUGUGUGGCUAAUUUUCUUGAAUUGAGGUGAUUACGCCAAAAUUUGAAAGAUAGGCGUUUGAAACAAUGAAUUCACCUCUAGGGACUUUAAUAAACUCGAUUCUCCAAAAUUCACACGUCAACACUUUUGCCUUGAGGCAAUGACUCGAGUUUUCAACACAAUUCAACAACUAGUCCUUAUUUCUCCCUUACAAUCUAUUCUUCUUCUUCUAUUUUUUUUUUUUUUCUUUUUUUUUUUUUUUUUUUUUUCGAAUCGAAGAAUUUAGAUAUAUAUAUGAAGAUGCACAUAUAUAUCUAUUUUUUUUUUUAUUUUUUUUUUUCGAAGAAGAAGAAGAAGAAAGAUCUUAUAAGAAUUUUUCGACCGACCUCCAAGGGAUGAUUAUUCAGAAAUCUCCACUUUUCUACCUUCUACAUAUUGGCUAAAAGAAAGAACACCUUUUCUCCGAGGCUCAAAUCAAGGUUCUAAGGAUAAUUUGACAAAAAUGGUAGGCUUGAAAGGCUCAAACGGUUCAAAGAAGGCCCAAAUCAUAUCCCAAAUCACUUAUUAUCAACACUUCGUAUCAUAAAUGUCCUAAGGUGAGAUUUAAAACCGAACAAAGCAUGAUUGAGCACAAAUACAUUCCAAAUUUAAAAUGCAAAACAUUCAACCAAAGCAAUGCACAAGGUGUGAUUCCUAGCAAUAAUUCACUUCUACGUUCCGUUGAAUCGAAAGCUAAACAAAUAUCUACUCCUUAUCAACAUAAAACAAGUAAUCUCAUCAUCAAACAUUGACCAUCUCCCAUCAUCAUAGUUCAUCGAUGUACCGAAAUUUAUUUAUUUAUUAUUAUUAUUUUUUUUUUUAAAUAAUAAAAAACGGCAACUAAAACAAAAACUAAAGCAUGCAAAAUAAUAAAAAAAUUAAAGCACAAAUAAAGCGCACAUAAAAUAAAACAAGUAGUUAACCACCCCCAAACUUAAAAUUCACAUUGCCCUCAAUGUGAUUCGCCCGGAGUUUAAGGAUAGAAAACACCUGUUUUUAAGCGUCGGGACCAUCGUCGGGUUGUUGGAAUUUGAUCGGUUUUCUUGCCCUUCCCUUUGCUCCUUGAAGUGCCUUCGCCUUGUGAGGUGCCCUCCCCGUCACGUCCUCGUUUCCCCAUGACUUGAGAAUGUGUGUAGAAGGGAUUAGGAGUGGAUUGAUGUGCAAAAUUUCCCCCAAACUUGACUUGGGCAAUUCGUCGAACACCUUGUGGGCGUUCUUGGUUGAAUGGAUUUUUGGAGAAAUUUGUACCUUUCUUGAACCCUCCCUGCACAAAUCAGCAACAAACAACCGAGAUAAGUAACAAUAUGUGUGUAGUUGGUGAAUUUUCGGUGAAAUUGUUCAAGAAAGUCGAAAAUUUUGAAAAGAGGGGGUUAGGGUUCGAAUUAGGGGAGAAGUGGGGAUUGGAAUUGUGAAAAUUGGGGUUUGGAAAACCCCUAUUUAAUAUGCCCGAAUUUUUUUUUUUUUUUUUUUUAUUAUUUUUUUUUUAUUUUUUUUUAUUUUUUUUUUCUUUCGCACGGCCGUGCGGGAUUUUGGCCUAAAAUCCGCACGGCCGUGCCAUUUUGCAUAUUUGGGCAGUAGCUGUUUCAAUUUUUGGACGGCCGUGCGAGAUUUUAGGGAAAAAUCCGCACGGCCGUCCCAUUUCCGGAUUUUAUACAGUAGCAUCCCCGAAAUUUCACACGGCCGUGUGAAAUUCCUCCCUUUUUCUUGCACGGCCGUGUGAAUAAUUGCAUUUAGGUCCCUGCAAAAUAAAAACUUCUUAUUAGUGCCCCUGAAACUUUUUUUUUUUUUUUUUUUUUAAAGCUGAAAUAAAAUAAGAACGAACACUAACAAGCUAAAUAAAUAAAAACAAAAAUAAUAAAAUUAAAAAAAAUAAAAUAAAAUAAAAGAAAGAAAAACGAAAGCUCGGGUUGCCUCCCGAGAAGCGCUAAGUUUACAGUCUUCAGCCGGACUUUGUCUGCUUCUUUGUUCAAGCUAUCGUGACCGAAGUCACUUGGCGAUUGAAUUCCUCUCCCCAAUAGUGCUCGUUCGGUUCUUUAGGUGGCCACAUCCACUUUGCACGUUCAUCAUGAUUAUCACCCCGACUCUUUUGACUGUCUCUCGGCGGAGUUGAAAUUGAGCUCGCACAAUAAACUUGCUCCGUCCGACUAUCUUUUCCGCCACCAUCUCCUGCACUCAAAGAUCCUUUCCCAGGGUCUAAGAUCAAAGCGUCAAAAUCGUCAUGAUUUGUAAAAUCCACAAGAUCUAUAGCAUAACAAUCAUUAUCAUCACUUGGAUUUUUAUAAGUGCUAAAAACGUUAAAUUUGACCGUUUGAUCAUGCACCGUCAUUGAAAGAUCACCACUAGCACAAUCAAUUAGAGUUUUUGACGUGGCUAAAAACGGUCUCCCUAAAAUAAGAGGUAUCUCCCUAUCUUCAUCUAUGUCAAGUAUAACGAAAUCAACAGGGAAGAUAAAUUUGUUCACUUUUACUAGCACAUUCUCUAAAAUACCUUUUGGGUAAACUAAAGAUCUAUCGGCUAAUUGAAGAGUUAUAGCCGUAGGUUCAAUUUCCCCUAACCCAAGAUUUUGAUAAGUCGAAUAAGGCAUAAGGUUAAUGCUAGCACCUAAAUCAAUGAGCGACCUAAAAUUUUUACCUCCUAUAGUACAAGGGAUAGUGAACUUACCUGGAUCGCCGAGUUUUUGUGGAAGAGGCCGUGUAAGGAUUGCACUACAUUGUUCCGUGAGUUGGAUCAUCUCGUUCCCUUGCAAUUUCUUCCUCUUUGUCACGAGAUCUUUGAGGAACUUCACCCACUUUGGCAUCUUUUGAAGGGCUUCAAUAAACGGGAUAUUUAUUUGGAUUUCCUUCAGCUUGUCCAAAAAUCUUUGAUACUCGGUAUCGAGCUUCUUCUUCAUAAGCUUCUGAGGAUAUGGAAUUGGAGGGGCUCGUGAUUUCACUGGAGAUGAUAGUGGUUCUUCGUGAGUCGCUUCUUUUUCCCCAAUCACGCUCGGCUUCUCGAUCACCGUGUUUUGCUUCUCUUUUCGUGGGGCUUCCUCCAAUUGUCUCCCAUUCCUUAAACUCACAGCGUUGCACUGCUCGACGUUGUUCUUCCGAGGAUCUUCCGUAUUCGACGGCAGUGCUCCCGAUGGCCUCGCGGUUAGCUGGGUUGCAAGUUGACCCAUUUGUGUUUCCAAAUUUCGGAUGGAGGCUUGGGUGGUUGUCAUGAAUUGCGCCAAAAUAUUUGCGAGAUCUACACCUUGAGGUUGAGCUUGAGGCGGAUUUUGGAAUCCGGGAGCUGGUCGUGAAUGAUUUGGCGGUUGACCUUGAGGUGUUGCUUGCCUUUGUCCUUGCUGAGUUCCUCCCCACCCAAAGUUAGGGUGAUCCUUCCAUCCCGGAUUAUAUGUGUUGGAGUACGGGUUCCUCUGUUGUCGGUUAGUGUCAUGCACAUAAUUCAGAGACUCCGUUUCUUCUACGCACUGGUCGGGAACUUGGACUGCGUGGACUUGCUGAGUCUGCAAAGCCGCUACUUGCUUCGAUAACUUCUCCAAUUGGGCCGUGAUUGCAGUGACUCCGUCUAACUCCAAAAUUCCUCCCGUCUUGAUUGCUCCGCUAUUCGACCGGUCCGAUGCUCGCAUGUAUUUAUUUCUAGCGAUUCGCUCUAAGAGUUCGUAUGCUUCGUCAUAGGUCAAACUCAUGAACAUACCUCCAG